rnacentral:miRNA from 1 species
UGGUUGGAUCGAUCAGCAAAUA